rnacentral:rRNA from 1 species
AUUGAACGCUGGCGGCAGGCCUAACACAUGCAAGUCGAGCGGAUGAAGGGAGCUUGCUCCUGGAUUCAGCGGCGGACGGGUGAGUAAUGCCUAGGAAUCUGCCUGGUAGUGGGGGAUAACGUCCGGAAACGGGCGCUAAUACCGCAUACGUCCUGAGGGAGAAAGUGGGGGAUCUUCGGACCUCACGCUAUCAGAUGAGCCUAGGUCGGAUUAGCUAGUUGGUGGGGUAAAGGCCUACCAAGGCGACGAUCCGUAACUGGUCUGAGAGGAUGAUCAGUCACACUGGAAUUGAGACACGGUCCAGACUCCUACGGGAGGCAGCAGUGGGGAAUAUUGGACAAUGGGCGAAAGCCUGAUCCAGCCAUGCCGCGUGUGUGAAGAAGGUCUUCGGAUUGUAAAGCACUUUAAGUUGGGAGGAAGGGCAGUAAGUUAAUACCUUGCUGUUUUGACGUUACCAACACAAUAAGCACCGGCUAACUUCGUG